AUACAGAGGGUGCGAGCGUUAAUCGGAAUUACUGGGCGUAAAGCGCGCGUAGGCGGCUACUUAAGUCAGAUGCGAAAUCCCCGGGCUCAACCUGGGAACUGCAUCUGAUACUGGGUAGCUAGAGUUUAGGAGAGGGAAGUAGAAUUUCAGGUGUAGCGGUGAAAUGCAUAGAGAUCUGAAGGAAUACCAGUGGCGAAGGCGGCUUCCUGGCCUAAAACUGACGCUGAGGUGCGAAAGCGUGGGUAGCAAACGGGAUUAGAAACCCUAGUAGUCC
rnacentral:rRNA from 1 species